CAGCAGCCGCGGGAAUACGAAGGGUGCAAGCGUUAAUCGGAAUUACUGGGCGUAAAGGGUGCGUAGGCGGUUGUUUAAGUCUGUUGUGAAAUCCCCGGCCUCAACCUGGGAAUGGCAAUGGAAACUGGACGGCUAGAGUGUGUCAGAGGAUGGUGGAAUUCCCGGUGUAGCGGUGAAAUGCGUAGAGAUCGGGAGGAACAUCAGUGGCGAAAGCGGCCAUCUGGGACAACACUGACGCUGAAGCACGAAAGCGUGGGGAGCAAACAGGAUUAGAUACCCGAGUAGUCCCUGUCUCUUAUAC
rnacentral:rRNA from 1 species